rnacentral:ncRNA from 1 species
GUGAAAGCGAUGAUAAGAGUUAGUACGUUUCCUAUGAUGUGCAGAGAGAAGGCGGUCGGUGCGAGCCUUUCAUGAUGAAAACGGAACCUGUCUUUGAGCGUGAAGUGAACGUGGGUGUUAGAACUGCGGACGGCAUCAGAUGCUAGAAAGCAGAAGGAUUCAUUAUUAAGCUUCAUCGGGAGCUCCCGUUACAGAGCUGGCAUAUCGGAUAUUUCCUGUAUGCGUGAGAGCGGUUUUACCGAAAUUAGGUGGUACCACGGACAGAUAGUUCGCCCUAAGC